UACGUAGGGUGCGAGCGUUAAUCGGAAUUACUGGGCGUAAAGCGUGCGCAGGCGGUUCUCCAAGUCCGUUGUGAAAGCCCCGGGCUCAACCUGGGAAUGGCAGCGGAAACUAGGGGACUGGAAUCUGGCAGAGGGGGGUGGAAUGCCGCGUGUAGCAGUGAAAUGCGUAGAGAUGCGGCGGAACACCGAUGGCGAAGGCAGCCCCCUGGGCUGAGAUUGACGCUCAGGCACGAAAGCGUGGGGAGCAAACAGG
rnacentral:rRNA from 1 species